UGUGCAGAAUUGUACCCCUCUCAUUCUAUGGUUUUGUUAAUGUCUCCUUUCUUAAAUAAAUAAAUAAUUAGUAAAUAAAAUAAAUAUUUUAAAAAUUAAAAAAAAGCAGAAAAAAUGGCUGUCAGGAGUGGUGGAUUCAUAGUGCAGGCACAGCUUAGCAAUAACAGUGGUGGAAAAAAUAAAUAAAUAAAAUUAAAUCUAGACUAUAGAUUAGUUUAGUGUUGACAUAAUGUUUUAUGUCUUGACUGUAAUAAUUGUAUUGUGAUUAUGCUCUUUGAAAAUACACACCAAGACAGUUGGAAGACAAAAGCAUGAUGAUCUCUCUCGAUAUGUGAAUUGUGACUAUAUAUAAAAACAUGUACACAGAAUAAUUAAACAAAAUAACUAGUGAAUUAAAUUUUCUACAAGAGUACCUUACACUAUGUUUGUAACAUCCUUAUUAAGUUGGAGAAUAUCAGUCAACAUUAUUAAGACUUUUCCAGUGAUAGGUGAGCAGUAAAGACUCUGACAGGUCUGAGUCUGGGGGAGGUGUGCCCACUGCUGUCCUUAUCACCCUUCGGUGCAGGCAGCCAGGCCUCUGACCCCCUAGUGGACGGGGUGCACAGCUCAGGUGCAGGUUGACCACAGACUACGGCCCUAAGACAAAGGUAAGACAUAAGUAUUGUGACAGCAAUACAGAUCAGGAUGGUCCCCACAGUUCUAUAUUUUACUAAGUUAAACAUGAGACCUUGACUUCUAAGGCUCAAUUUUGCUUCUCUGUAAAAUGGGAACAGUGAUUUGUAGAAUGAGAUUGACCUGACUCAACACAGACUGAGCAGCUAAGGUGACCUCUGUUGCACUAGGGGGAGGGGUGUGUGUGUAUGUGUGUGUGUGGGUCAACAAAUUCUCAUGUUGCCUGACAAGUAGAUGAAUCCCAAGGGGGGCCUCACACUGUUUAUUCUAGCAUCUGUUCUGUGUCUCCUUCCAGCUCCAACAAUGUUGUUAUUCCUCUUCCACCAAAUCACAUUCUUCAACUUCAUCAUUGCCUGGUUUAUCUCCACCCCACACCCAUUCCCAGAUCUUCCCAAAUUAUCAUCCCUGUGCUAGUGAGUUCAUUUAUGGCAGGACAGCCUGUACUUCUGUCAGUCAUCUCCUUCCUGUCCUUUGGAGUAGGGAAGAUAGACCUGGCUUUUUCCUCACAAACUCAGAGGCUGGCAGCUCCUGCAAGCUGAGGCUGCAGAUGAGUACUGUCUGCUCUACCUGACACAACUCAGAAGACCCUACACCCCACCAGCUGGGUGGGGUAAGUGCCAGAGAGAGUUUGGCCAUGACUUGAUUGACAAGGAAACCACUCAGCCUUCCCUGGGUCACACCUCUCCUUCUCCAGGGCAAAGAGUUCAGGCCUGGUGUCUGCUGAUUAUCUCCGGGUUGUUUUUCUCCUUUCCUGCUCUCCUCUGCCCCACUCAACCCCUACAGGGCCUCACUGGAAUGGAUGUGCCAGAGCUACAGUCCGGACAUUGCAGACCCUAGAGCUCAAAGUGCACAAACUAUUGCUUUGUCCCCCAGGAGAGACUCCUUUCUCAAGAUGGGCACUGGAAGAUCUUCAGACCAGAUGGAAGACCUCUGGCCUCUGGAAAGGUGGUCAGCAAGCUUCACUCUGCAAUGAGUCUUAAAUCCUUUGUGGAGUCUUCUGCUACCUAUGUCCAAAGCAGAUUCAGAGACCUGGGAGAUAGCUUGCCCAGUGGAAUGUCUACUUUAUCAUGGGGGAGGUCCCAGGUUUAUGCCCUGACACUACAUGAGAGCACUACAGCACCAGGGGAAGCCCCGUGAAUGAUGGGGCAGUGCUAGGAUGUAUCUCUCUGUCUCUGUCUCUCUCUCUCUAAAAAA